AACGAACGCUGGCGGCAUGCCUAACACAUGCAAGUCGAACGAGACCUUCGGGUCUAGUGGCGCACGGGUGCGUAACGCGUGGGAACCUGCACUUAGGUUCGGAAUAACUCCCCGAAAGGGGUGCUAAUACCGGAUAAUGUCUUCGGACCAAAGAUUUAUCGCCUUUGGAUGGGCCCGCGUUGGAUUAGCUAGUUGGUAGGGUAAAAGCCUACCAAGGCGACGAUCCAUAGCUGGUCUGAGAGGAUGAUCAGCCACACUGGGACUGAGACACGGCCCAGUCUCCGACAGGAAGCAGCAGUGGGUAAUAUUGGACAGUGGGCGAAAGCCUGAUCCAGCAAUGCCGCGUGAGUGAUGAAGGCCUUAGGGUUGUAAAGCUCUUUUACCCGGGAUGAUAAUGACAGUACCGGGAGAAUAAGCUCCGGCUAACUCCGUG
rnacentral:rRNA from 1 species